AACCCCUUGGUCAAGCGGUUAAGACACCGCCCUUUCACGGCGGUAACACGGGUUCGAGUCCCGUAGGGG
rnacentral:tRNA from 1 species